CUGCUAACAUCCCUCACAACCUUUCUGACCUUUUGGGUUUUAAGCAGCAGGUCAUACACAAAGU